GAUAAUUAAUUUAUUAUUUAAGUUUAAAGAAUAUAUUUAUAUUAAUAUUUAAAAAAAGAAUUUUUAUUUUUAUUAUGUUAUGAAAAAAUUUUAUUUAUUAUAGUUUAAUGUAUUGUGAAAGAAUUUUUUUAAUUGUUAUAAAGAAAAAUUUAAUUUUUGUACCUUGUGUAUCAGGGUUAAUUAAUAAAAGUUUUUUAUAAAAUAUUCUCGAAUUCAAAAGAGUUAAUUAAUUAUAAAUUUUAUUGUGAAAUAAAUAUUUAUAAUUUUUAAUUAGAAAUGAAAUGUUAGUCGUUUUUGAAUAUAUCUAGUUUUUAAAGAAAUAAAUUAAAUUUAUUUAUUAAUAAUUAAAAUUUUAAUUUUUUAAUUUUUUAUUUAUUAAUAUAAAAUAUUUAUGGGGAUAAGCUUAUAAAUAAAUUUUUAUAAUAAAAUAAUUUUUUAAAUAAAUUGUAGAAUUAAAAAUUUUCACUAAUAAAAAAUUGUUAUAAUUGAUUAUUUUUUGUAUAAAAUUUUUAUUUUAUUUAAUUUUUUUAUUUAAAUAUAAAUUUUAAUUUUAGAAAUUUAGUAAUAAUGAUUAAAUUAGUAUAAAUUUAUUUAUAAAAUUUUUUAGAUUUUAAGGUUAAUUUAAGGAAUUCGGCAAAUAUAUUUUUCACCUGUUUAUUAAAAACAUGUCCUUUUGAUUAUAAUUUAAGGUCUAAUCUGCCCACUGAGUAGUUAAAUGGCCGCGGUAUUUUGACCGUGCAAAGGUAGCAUAAUAAUUAGUUUCUUAAUUAGAAGCUGGAAUGAAAGAUUGGAUGAGAAAAUAGCUGUCUCAAGUUAAAUUAUUUAGAAUUUUAUUUUUAAGUUAAAAAGCUUAAAUUUAUUUAAAAGACGAGAAGACCCUAUAGAGUUUAAUAAAUAAAUUUAUAUAAAAAUUUAUAUUUGAUUUUUUUUUAUUUUUUUAUUUAUUUAUU
rnacentral:rRNA from 1 species